CCUUUAAUUACACUACCCAUGAAAACCUACCUUUACGCUUACCGCGUCCCGUGAGCCCGUGUGCAGUCCGGCUGCACGAUGCAUGUGCCAAUAGAAGUACGUGGUCACUGGUCAUAGUUCAAUGAUAACAAGACGUGUCAUUUUUUCAAGUGUUUCCUAACUUCAGAUAUCUAACUUCUGUAUAAAACACCGGUAAAAUAGUGGGAAAAAUGGAAGGCAUCGAUUGUGAUUUUAACGUGGACG